rnacentral:tRNA from 1 species
GGAGAGGUGACCGAGUGGCUGAAGGUGCACGCCUGGAAAGCGUGUGUGCCCUAUCCGGGUACCGAGGGUUCGAAUCCCUCCCUCUCCG